ACUUUCUGUUGAUGACACGGUAAACUGGAUGCAGGUUAAGUCGCGAAUGAUGGGAGAUUCCACAUACAAAAAUACCCUUGAUUGUUUUGUCAAAACAUUGAAGAAUGAUGGACCUUUAGCUUUCUAUAAAGGCUUUAUCCCAAAUUUUGGACGCUUGGGAUCGUGGAAUGUCAUUAUGUUUCUGACAUUGGAGCAGGCGAAAAAGUUUGUAAAAAACUUAGAAUCAGCUUGAUGUCAAAGAGAUGGAUCAUCAAGCAAAGGAUUACUAUAUACACAUUAAAAAUGGAUUGGCUCAGCAACCAUUAAAACAACGAUUGUUUGCAACAUUCCCUUUUUUCCAUUUUCAUGAAUAAUUUGUCCGAAUGGAGAACACAGGAACUGUGGGAGAGAAACUCAGAGGCGUUUGAUAGGUUUUCCCCUCUUACCAUUGUUGUAGACUGCAAAUGUUGUACCCUUCUUUCCUUUUGGUUACUAGGGGAUUCUAUUACUGAUUUAUGGGAAUUGACUCCAAUGAUAAACAAUGAAGAUUCAGCUCGAGCUGUGUGUGCUUCU